rnacentral:lncRNA from 1 species
AGAGACCAGUGCAAAGCACAUGACGGACUGCGUGCCCUCCCUUUCCCAUUCCCCGCACACGCGCACCUCCUGAGGCUGGG